UACAGAGGUCUCAAGCGUUGUUCGGAUUCAUUGGGCGUAAAGGGUGCGUGGGCGGCGCGGUAAGUCGGGUGUGAAAUCUCGGAGCUUAACUCCGAAACUGCAUUCGAUACUGCCGUGCUUGAGGACUGGAGAGGAGACUGGAAUUUACGGUGUAGCGGUGAAAUGCGUAGAUAUCGUAAGGAAGACCAGUGGCGAAGGCGGAUCUCUGGACAGUUCCUGACGCUGAGGCGCGAAGGCCAGGGGAGCAAACGGG
rnacentral:rRNA from 1 species